GCCACUCACAAAUCGAAAACCCUCGCCGCUCAAGCCACCAUCGACCAACGACCUUCUACUCUCUCCGCCGUAGACCGGUCCAUCACCAUUUCUUCAAGAUCCUUUCUAUCACCGGUAACCGCAGAAUAAAAUCCAACGACGCUUCGGCAUUUAGCUCGGAUCUAGAUUCUCGGUGACUUAAGGAUAUUUGGGAGUAUUUGAUUCGCAACGGUAGCUUGAAGAAGACAGUGUCGCGGCUUAUCUUCAAAAAGCUCAAGGUUGGAGUAUGGUUUUUCUGUUGUACGCGAACGAAGCAACACGAAGCAACGCCGGAACCGCAAUGGUUUGAGGAUGUUGAAAGGGUUGGUAUUGGCAGUUGAUGCGGUCAAAGGAGGUCACAAAUUAUACGAUGCUAAGGAUGCAGUAACUCGAUGUAGAAGCAACAUCGCUCGCAAGCCAGAAAUGCAACAACAACGGU
rnacentral:lncRNA from 1 species